CUUGCAGCCACUACUGCAGGCACCAGCUAAACCACUUCUGUUCCAGGAACUUCAUCUUUUUACCAUCGCUUCUGCAAAAGCCAGUUGCUGCUUCUUUAUUUCCAUUGGCCUUUGCCAGCAAAAUGAAUACAGGUUGGAUGCUUUUUCCUCCUGUUGCUUCCUUUUGAAUUGAAGACUCAGGUGGAUGAAUUUGAUUGAUGGGACUCAGUUCCUGUAUUUUUGUCCUAACUUCAAAAAGGAUUUGGGGAAGUGAUUUUUCUGAUUUCUACCCUAGAGAGGCAGGACUCAUAAGGGCAGUCAGAAGCAGCCAGCCUAUGAUGGUCCGGACAGAAACCUCAACUGAGUCACCCAGAGUUUGUCUGGUACCAUUCUAUCUUGUCACAGGUCUCCUUGGAUGGGAGGCCAAUCUGAAACUUCAUGGAUGACUGUAGCAGUUCACUUAAUCAACACUCCUGCCACAUUUACCUUAAAGUUUCACUUUGUGCCCUUGAUGGCUAAUUUUAUGGGUUGACUUGGCCAGCGUAUGGUACCCAUUUGUUUGCUACCAGUCUAGAUGUCGCUGUGAAGCCUGCAUUAUAUCUGCCGUGCAGUGAUCUGUGGGUGGACUACAUGUGAUGGAAUUGAUGGUCUCCCUCUAUCAUCGAUGUUACAGGAUUCUUUUUUAAAAUGUUUUUCUAGUUGUUGAUAGACCUUUAUUUUAUUUCUUUACAUGUGGU